ensembl:misc_RNA Metazoa_SRP Metazoan signal recognition particle RNA
AUUGUACAGUGGCAUGUGCCUGUAGUCCCAGCUACCGCGGGGCGGAGUUGAGCUGGGAGGGUUACUUGAGUCCAGGAGCUCUAGGCUGUCAUACACUGUACCAUCAUCUACCUGUACCAAGUUCAGCAUUAAUAUGGAUCAAGGGACCACCAGGUUGCCUAAGGAGUGAACCAACCCAGGUCAAAAACCAAGCAGGUCAAAAUUCUCAUGCUGAUCAGUAGUAAGACACACCUGUGACUAGCCAUUGCACUCCAGCCUGGGCAGCAUAGCAAGAUCCCCAUCUCUU